rnacentral:rRNA from 1 species
CCUACGGGUGACAGCAGUGGGGAAUAUUGGUCAAUGGGCGCAAGCCUGACCCAGCAACGCCGCGUGAAGGAAGAAGGCUUUAGGGUUGUAAACUUUUUUUGGCAGGGACGAAGCAAGUGACGGUACCGGACGAAUAAGCCACGGCGAACUACUUGCCCGCAGCAGCGGUAAUACGUAGGUGGCAAGCGUUAUCCGGAUUUAUUGGGUGUAAAGGGCGUGUAGGCGGGAAUGGAAGUCCGAUGUGAAAACUAUGGGCUCAACCCAUAGCCUGCAUUUGAAACUGUAUGCCUUGAGUGCUGGGGAGGCAAGCGGAAUUCCGUGUGUAGCGGUGAAAUGCGUAGAUAUACGGAGGAACACCAGUGGCGAAGGCAGAUUGCUGGACAGUAACUGACGCUGAGGCGCGAAAGUGUGGGUAUCAAACAGGAUUAGAUACCCCUGUAGUC